CCUACGGGAGGCAGCAGUGGGGAAUAUUGGUCAAUGGGCGAAAGCCUGAACCAGCCAUGCCGCGUGAGUGAUGAAGGCCUUAGGGUUGUAAAGCUCUUUCGGCGGGGAAGAUAAUGACGGUACCCGCAGAAGAAGCCCCGGCUAACUUCGUGCCAGCAGCCGCGGUAAUACGAAGGGGGCUAGCGUUGUUCGGAAUCACUGGGCGUAAAGCGCGCGUAGGCGGAUUGUUAAGUCAGGGGUGAAAUCCCGAGGCUCAACCUCGGAACUGCCUUUGAUACUGGCAAUCUCGAGUCCGGAAGAGGUGAGUGGAACUCCUAGUGUAGAGGUGAAAUUCGUAGAUAUUAGGAAGAACACCAGUGGCGAAGGCGGCUCACUGGUCCGGCACUGACGCUGAUGCGCGAAAGCGUGGGGAGCAAACAGGAUUAGAUACCCCAGUAGUC
rnacentral:rRNA from 1 species